UUGUCUUAAGUGCAUAUCUCUAAAAGGAGAUCAAUAGACUCGCAAACUCCAUCAUGGAUCGAAUCAUGUCUAACAGAGUUCGAUUUCUCUUUUCAGAUACACUAUUAUGCUAUGAUGUUCUAAGAGGUGUCUAUUAUAAGAGAAUCUCAUUUUUUCUUAGACAUGUCAGAAACUCACUGAAAAGAUAUUCACCACGUCGGUC
rnacentral:lncRNA from 1 species